CAAGGUUAAAACUCAAAUGAAUUGACGGGGGCCCGCACAAGCGGUGGAGCAUGUGGUUUAAUUCGAUGCAACGCGAAGAACCUUACCUACUCUUGACAUCCACNGAAUUUNGCAGAGAUGCUUUNGUGCCUUCGGGAACUGUGAGACAGGUGCUGCAUGGCUGUCGUCAGCUCGUGUUGUGAAAUGUUGGGUUAAGUCCCGCAACGAGCGCAACCCUUAUCCUUUGUUGCCAGCGAUUCGGUCGGGAACUCAAAGGAGACUGCCGGUGAUAAACCGGAGGAAGGUGGGGAUGACGUCAAGUCAUCAUGGCCCUUACGAGUAGGGCUACACACGUGCUACAAUGGCGCAUACAAAGAGAAGCGACCUCGCGAGAGCAAGCGGACCUCAUAAAGUGCGUCGUAGUCCGGAUCGGAGUCUGCAACUCGACUCCGUGAAGUCGGAAUCG
rnacentral:rRNA from 1 species